AGAGUGAACGCUGGCGGCAGGCCUAACACAUGCAAGUCGAACGGCAGCACAAGGGAGCUUGCUCCCUGGGUGGCGAGUGGCGGACGGGUGAGGAAUACGUCGGAAUCUGCCUAUUUGUGGGGGAUAACGUAGGGAAACUUACGCUAAUACCGCAUACGACCCCAUGCCGAGAGGCGCGGGGUGAAAGCGGAGGACCUUCGGGCUUCGCGCAGAUAGAGUGAGCCGACGUCGGAUUAGCUUGUGGCGGGGUAACGCCCACAAGGCGACGAUCCGUAGCUGGUCUGAGAGGAUGAUCGAGCCACACUGGAACUGAGACACGGUCAGACUCCGACGGAGCAGCAGGUGGGAAUCGUGAACAGUGGCGA
rnacentral:rRNA from 1 species